CAGUCGCCGCGGUAAUACGGAGGGCGCGAGCGUUACCCGGAUUUACUGGGCGUAAAGGGCGUGUAGGCGGCCUGGGGCGUCCCAUGUGGAAGGCCACGGCUCAACCGUGGAGGAGCGUGGGAUACGCUCAGGCUAGAGGGUGGGAGAGGGUGGUGGAAUUCCCGGAGUAGCGGUGAAAUGCGCAGAUACCGGGAGGAACGCCGAUGGCGAAGGCAGCCACCUGGUCCACUUCUGACGCUGAGGCGCGAAAGCGUGGGGAGCAAACAGGAUUAGAUACCCCCGUAGUCCCUGUCUCUUAUAC
rnacentral:rRNA from 1 species